CCUACGGGUGGCAGCAGUGGGGAAUAUUGCACAAUGGGGGAAACCCUGAUGCAGCAACGCCGCGUGAGUGAAGAAGUAUUUCGGUAUGUAAAGCUCUAUCAACAGGGAAGAAAAUGACGGUACGUGAGUAAGAAGCCCCGUCUAAUUACGUGCCAGCAGCCGCGGUAAUACGUAGGGGGCAAGCGUAAUCCGGAUUUACUGGGCUUAAGGGGGGCGUAGACGGUGAUACAGGUCUGAAGUGAAAGCCCGGGGCUCAACCCCAGGAUUGCUUUGGAAACUGCCUGACUGGAGUGCUGGUGAGGCAAGCGGAAUUCCUGGUGUAGCGGUGAAAUGCGUAGAUAUUAGGAAGAACACCAGUGGCGAAGGCAGCUUGCUGGACCGUAACUGACGCUGAGGCUCGAAAGCGUGGGGAGCAAACAGGAUUAGAUACCCGGGUAGUC
rnacentral:rRNA from 1 species